rnacentral:snRNA from 1 species
UUACUAUAUCAAAAUUGUUAUC